AUGGAGGAUGGAAUCAAGCAUCAUGCCACGUUCUUCUUUUUCUUUAGAUCUCCUUUCUUUUUGCUACCACUAUUUUGGGGCUGCUUACACAGGAAUGUCGCAGCAAUCCCCGGAGGAGCACACCACGUGAGCCCAUUAGGAGAACAGUUCACUCCCACCUGCCACCGCCAGCCAGCCAACGAUCUCAGCUUCCCCACUCUACUCCUGAUCCUGUCGAGUCAUCCCAUCCCUGAGUGGCAGGAUGGGCAAGGACAGCUGGGGGGCUCCACAUGCAUUUGGAGGAAGGGAACAUGUGAGGUGGGUUGCUCCAUUCUUCUACUCCUUUUACGGAAAGAGACAGCUGCAAUCUUGUGUAAGAAGUAAACAUAAGCCAACAGGGCCCAGGGCCACUGGGCAGCCAGCAGUGAGAUGUAUUUUUCCCCACUGAGGGCACCAUCCCAGUACCCAAGCUCAGUCCCCGCCCCAGGCACAGACCAAAGCAAGGACUUUGCACACCCAGUUCACUUGGCCAAGCCCUGUCCAAGAUGUGCCACUCAAUACCGAAUGAAAUGAAUGUGAUUCACGUUCCCCGGCUGGGUCAGCAGUCCAUCACUGCUCAUCUCACACAGUGGGGUCCUGUCCCGGCCACCUCUGUGUGCACUGCUCAAAAAUGCAGUGUUUAUCUUGGAGAGGCAGCAUCUUUAGGUUCAGGAGUCUGCAUCUGUGCAGAACUGGCUCACGGAGAAGUAGAUCUCCCCGUAUAGGAAAGUCAGGGUGUGUUUAGAGGUGCUCUCCGAUUCAGCUGUGGCUGGCUCAUUCCCUUUGUGCCCCCUUCCCUUUUGUUUGCUUAUACAAGAAAACAGUAUAUUCAUUUCUUCCUUUUUCCCACCACCAUCCCUCUUAAUGGCCAGGCCCAUCUGUCCAUCUGUCUGAAACCAUUCUUGGUUGCACAGUUUUGAAUCCAGGUGACAAUCAAAAUGAAGAAAUGAUUCUCCCUCCAUAUUUUCUCUGAAGGGAUGAAAAUGAUUAAAACAACAACAACAACAACAACACCCUUUGUUUGUGUGUUUGCUGCAUGUUCUCCGGUUGACAUACCACAGUCAGUGAACUGCCAGGAAUAAAGCCUGAAAGCAGAUGCUGUGCUGCUGUGAC
rnacentral:lncRNA from 12 species